rnacentral:rRNA from 1 species
CAGUCGCCGCGGUAAAACGAGGGGGGCAAGCGUUGUUCGGAUUUACUGGGCGUAAAGGGUGCGUAGGCGGAUUUUUAAGUCAGGGGUGAAAUCCCAAGGCUCAACCUUGGAACUGCCUUUGAUACUGGAGAUCUUGAGUCCGGGAGAGGUGAGUGGAACUGCGAGUGUAGAGGUGAAAUUCGUAGAUAUUCGCAAGAACACCAGUGGCGAAGGCGGCUCACUGGCCCGGUACUGACGCUGAGGCACGAAAGCGUGGGGAGCAAACAGGAUUAGAUACCCCGGUAGUCCCUGUCUCUUAUAC